AUUGAACGCUGGCGGCAUGCUUUACACAUGCAAGUCGAACGGCAGCACGGACUUCGGUCUGGUGGCGAGUGGCGAACGGGUGAGUAAUACAUCGGAACGUGCCCAGUUGUGGGGGAUAACUACUCGAAAGAGUAGCUAAUACCGCAUGAGAACUGAGGUUGAAAGCAGGGGAUCGUAAGACCUUGCGCAACUGGAGCGGACGAUGGCAGAUUAGGUAGUUGGUGGGAUAAAAGCUUACCAAGCCGACGAUCUGUAGCUGGUCUGAGAGGACGACCAGCCACACUGGGACUGAGACACGGCCCAGACUCCUACGGGAGGCAGCAGUGGGGAAUUUUGGACAAUGGGCGAAAGCCUGAUCCAGCAAUGCCGCGUGCAGGAUGAAGGCCUUCGGGUUGUAAACUGCUUUUGUACGGAACGAAAAGCUUCGGGCUAAUACCCUGGAGUCAUGACGGUACCGUAAGAAUAAGCACCGGCUAACUACGUGCCAGCCGCCGCUGUAAGAC
rnacentral:rRNA from 1 species